rnacentral:rRNA from 1 species
GAUUACCUCAGUAACGGCGAGUGAAGCGGUAAAAGCUCAAAUUUGAAAUCUGGCUCUUUUAGAGUCCGAAUUGUAAUUUGUAGAAGAUGCUUCGGGUGUGGUUCCGGUCUAAGUUCCUUGGAACAGGACGUCAUAGAGGGUGAGAAUCCCGUAUGUGACUGGAUACCUAUGCUCAUGUGAAGCUCUUUCGACGAGUCGAGUUGUUUGGGAAUGCAGCUCAAAAUGGGAGGUAUAUUUCUUCUAAAGCUAAAUAUUGGCCAGAGACCGAUAGCGCACAAGUAGAGUGAUCGAAAGAUGAAAAGCACUUUGGAAAGAGAGUUAAACAGUACGUGAAAUUGUUGAAAGGGAAGCGCUUGCAAUCAGACUUGCACUUGGUGUUCAUCAGGGUCUCGUGCCCUGUGUACUUCAUCAAGUUCAGGCCAGCAUCAGUUUGAGUGGUUAGAUAAAGGCUUAGAGAAUGUGGCCCUCUUCGGGGGGUGUUAUAGCUCUAGGUGCAAUGUAGCCUACUUGGACUGAGGACCGCGCUUCGGCUAGGAUGCUGGCGUAAUGGUUGUAAGCGACCCGUCUUGAAACACGGACCAAGGAGUGUACCUAAUAUGCGAGUGUUUGGGUGUUAAACCCAUACGCGUAAUGAAAGUGAACGCUGGUGAGAACCCUUAAGGGUGCAUCAUCGACCGAUCUUGAUGUCUUCGGAUGGAUUUGAGUAAGAGCAUAUUGGGUGCGACCCGAAAGAUGGUGAUCUAUACGUGAAUAGGGUGAAGCCAGAGGAAACUCUGGUGGAGGCUCGCAGCGGUUCUGACGUGCAAAUCGAUCGUCAAAUUUGCGUAUAGGGGCGAAAGACUAAUCGAACCAUCUAGUAGCUGG